UACGAAGGGGGCUAGCGUUGCUCGGAAUCACUGGGCGUAAAGGGUGCGUAGGCGGGUUUUAAGUCAGGGGUGAAAUCCUGGAGCUCAACUCCAGAACUGCCUUUGAUACUGGUGAUCUUGAGUCCGGGAGAGGUGAGUGGAACUGCGAGUGUAGAGGUGAAAUUCGUAGAUAUUCGCAAGAACACCAGUGGCGAAGGCGGACUCACUGG
rnacentral:rRNA from 1 species